AUCGAAGAGUUUUAAUGCUCUUUCUAGUUUAUUUCUCAACCUUAUCAUGGAAUCAUUUGAGCAUUUCAAAUAAUCUAAAUUUAUGGCAAAUAUGUUCGUAGAUCCAAUACAUCAGUAUGUAUUAGACUCAGAAAAUUAUUGGCUCAUUCAUCUUUUUUAGUAAAAGGUGACUUGGUCAUCUUACUAAGGAGAUAAGAUUGACAGGUUGAUAAUGAUUCACAAUCAUUGACUUUGAGAAUUAUCCUAUUGAUCUUAUUCUUGCUUAAUAAUCGAGCCUAAACUACCAAAGGUAGACUUCCAGGAUAU
rnacentral:lncRNA from 1 species